rnacentral:rRNA from 1 species
UACGAAGGGGGCUAGCGUUGCUCGGAAUGACUGGGCGUAAAGGGCGCGUAGGCGGUUCAUACAGUCAGAUGUGAAAUUCCCGGGCUUAACCUGGGGGCUGCAUUUGAUACGUGUGGGCUUGAGUGAGGAAGAGGGUUGUGGAAUUCCCAGUGUAGAGGUGAAAUUCGUAGAUAUCGGGAAGAACACCGGUGGCGAAGGCGGCAACCUGGUCCUUGACUGACGCUGAGGCGCGAAAGCGUGGGGAGCAAACAGG